rnacentral:rRNA from 1 species
UCAUUACAGUAGUCGCCCGGGUUGCCGCAAGGCCUCCCGGGUAACCUACCACCCUUUGUUUAUUACACUUUGUUGCUUUGGCAGGCCUGCCCUCGGGCUGCUGGCUCCGGCCGGCGAGCGCUUGCCAGAGGACCUAAACUCUGUCUGUCUAUACUGUCUGAGUACUAUAUAAUAGUUAAAACUUUCAACAACGGAUCUCUUGGUUCUGGCAUCGAUGAAGAACGCAGCGAAAUGCGAUAAGUAAUGUGAAUUGCAGAAUUCAGUGAAUCAUCGAAUCUUUGAACGCAACUUGCGCUCUCUGGUAUUCCGGAGAGCAUGCCUGUUUGAGUGUCAUGAAAUCUCAACCAUUAGGGUUUCUUAAUGGCUUGGAUUUGGAGGUUGCCAUUCUAAAUGGCUCCUCUUAAAGGAGUUAGCAAGUUUUACUAUUGCUAUCUGGCGUAAUAAGUUUCGCUGGAAUGGUAUUGUGAAGCGUGCUUCUAAUCGUCUUCGGACAAUUACUUUGACUCUGGCCUCAAAUCAGG